CCGACGGUGAGGGACGAAAGCUGGGGGAGCAAACCGGAUUAGAUACCCGGGUAGUCCCAGCUGUAAACUAUGCAAACUCAGUGAUGCAUUGGCUUGUGGCCAAUGCAGUGCUGCAGGGAAGCCGUUAAGUUUGCCGCCUGGGAAGUACGUACGCAAGUAUGAAACUUAAAGGAAUUGGCGGGGGAGCACCACAAGGGGUGAAGCCUGCGGUUCAAUUGGAGUCAACGCCUGAAACCUUACCCGGAGAGACAGCAGAAUGAAGGUCAAGCUGAAGACUUUACCAGACAAGCUGAGAGGUGGUGCAUGGCCGUCGCCAGCUCGUGCCGUGAGAUGUCCUGUUAAGUCAGGUAACGAGCGAGAUCCCUGCCUCUAGUUGCCACCAUUACUCUCAGGAGUAGUGGGGCGAAUUAGCGGGACCGCCGCAGUUAAUGCGGAGGAAGGAAGGGGCCACGGCAGGUCAGUAUGCCCCGAAACUCUGGGGCCACACGCGGGCUGCAAUGGUAACGACAAUUGGUUUCGAAUCCGAAAGGAUGAGGUAAUCCUCAAACGUUACCACAGUUAUGACUGAGGGCUGCAACUCGCCCUCACGAAUAUGGAAUCCCUAGUAACUGCGUGUCAUUAUCGCGCGGUGAAUACGUCCCUGCUCCUUGCACACACCGCCCGU
rnacentral:rRNA from 1 species